AGUUUAUGGACUUCCACCAGUCCCUCUACAGGAAGAACAGUGCUUCCCUAGGAAUAUUUGUUGCAAUCCUCUGUCUUCUCCAAAGCUGAUUCAGUGGCCCAGACAACUCGAUGGCAUAGUAGUCAAGUGCAUCAGUUGGGGAGGGUGUAAACUUUCUGAGAAUAUUUUGAUUGCUUCUAGAGCUGCAGUGCCUCAGGCCACCAG
rnacentral:lncRNA from 1 species